rnacentral:misc_RNA from 1 species
GCAAACUACACUUACAUGGGAAACUAUUCAAGAUACUCAAUUAUUGGAUAAAUCAAUAUAAGAAUGAAGAAUGGUUGUGGCAAUAGAGGUAAAGGUCAUGAGAAAAUGAAGAAGGCUAUGAGAAGCAAGAUGAAAAUAGAGAUCCCAACUGGUAAAGGAAGACCAACUAAACCAAAUCAAUCAGCAAAAUUAUACAAUGAGUUGGGGAUAAUUGCUCAAAAUUUUAUUUUGCUUUCAAACAAGUGGAAGAAACUCUCAAGAGAGGACAAAGAUUGGACACUAAUUAGAUGUCAUGUAAGAAUUCUAUACUCUUUUAAACAUCAUGUUUGUAAUUCUAUUGAGUUCUUUU